UCCUGUGUAAAUGUACGGAAUCCUGACACGUUUCGUCGUUGAUGCAAUUGUUGCGGUUUUAAAUGUCCUAGUUCCAAUUCGGAUAUUCCGGGGAAAAAAAAAAACUCUAGUUUUAGCUGAAUAUGCUGAUGACACGGAGAAAACUGUUUCACUGUCAAACUCAUACUUUGGAAAAACUUAUCAAUCACAUCAAUUUCUGUUUAGUCAUUUGACUUGACUCCUUCUACUUUUUUCUUUUUCGAUAACGUAUUGCAUCAAAUGCGAGGACGCGGAUUCUGAUGUGGUAC